rnacentral:rRNA from 1 species
AUUGAACGCUGGCGGCAGGCCUAACACAUGCAAGUCGAACGGUAACAGGAAGCAGCUUGCUGCUUCGCUGACGAGUGGCGGACGGGUGAGUAAUGUCUGGGAAGCUGCCUGAUGGAGGGGGAUAACUACUGGAAACGGUAGCUAAUACCGCAUAAUGUCGCAAGACCAAAGAGGGGGACCUUCGGGCCUCUUGCCAUCGGAUGUGCCCAGAUGGGAUUAGCUUGUUGGUGGGGUAACGGCCCACCAAGGCGACGAUCCCUAGCUGGUCUGAGAGGAUGACCAGCCACACUGGAACUGAGACACGGUCCAGACUCCUACGGGAGGCAGCAGUGGGGAAUAUUGCACAAUGGGCGCAAGCCUGAUGCAGCCAUGCCGCGUGUAUGAAGAAGGCCUUCGGGUUGUAAAGUACUUUCAGCGGGGAGGAAGGGAGUAAAGUUAAUACCUUUGCUCAUUGACGUACCCGCA